rnacentral:miRNA from 1 species
CUGCUGCACCUCUCUCUC